GAUGAACGCUGGCGGCGUGCCUAAUACAUGCAAGUCGAGCGAACAGACGAGGAGCUUGCUCCUCUGACGUUAGCGGCGGACGGGUGAGUAACACGUGGAUAACCUACCUAUAAGACUGGGAUAACUUCGGGAAACCGGAGCUAAUACCGGAUAAUAUAUUGAACCGCAUGGUUCAAUAGUGAAAGACGGUUUUGCUGUCACUUAUAGAUGGAUCCGCGCCGCAUUAGCUAGUUGGUAAGGUAACGGCUUACCAAGGCAACGAUGCGUAGCCGACCUGAGAGGGUGAUCGGCCACACUGGAGCUGGAACGCGGUCCAGACUCCGACGGGAGGCAGCAGUAGGGAAUCUUCCGCAAUGGGCGAAAGCCUGACGGAGCAACGCCGCGUGAGUGAUGAAGGUCUUCGGAUCGUAAAACUCUGUUAUUAGGGAAGAACAAAUGUGUAAGUAACUAUGCACGUCUUGACGGUACCUAGUCAGAAAGCCACGGCUAACUACGUG
rnacentral:rRNA from 1 species